CCUUACGAGUAGGGCUACACACGUGCUACAAUGGCAGAUACAAAGAGAAGCGACCUCGCGAGAGCAAGCGGAACUCAUAAAGUCUGUCGUAGUCCGGAUUGGAGUCUGCAACUCGACUCCAUGAAGUCGGAAUCGCUAGUAAUCGUAGAUCAGAAUGGUACGGUGAAUACGUUCCCGGGCCUUGUACACACCGCCCGUCACACCAUGGGAGUGGGUUG
rnacentral:rRNA from 1 species